rnacentral:rRNA from 1 species
CAGCAGCCACGGUAAUACGAAGGGGGCUAGCGUUGUUCGGAUUUACUGGGCGUAAAGGGCGCGUAGGCGGGCUUAUAAGUCAGGGGCGAAAUCCCGAGGCUCAACCUCGGAACUGCCUUUGAUACUGUAGGUCUUGAGUUCGAGAGAGGUAAGUGGAACUGCGAGUGUAGAGGUGAAAUUCGUAGAUAUUCGCAAGAACACCAGUGGCGAAGGCGGCUUACUGGCUCGAAACUGACGCUGAGGCGCGAAAGCGUGGGGAGCAAACAGGAUUAGAUACCCCGGUAGUCCCUGUCUCUUAUAC